GACGAACGCUGGCGGCGUGCUUAACACAUGCAGGUCGAACGGAAAGGCCCUGCUUUUGUGGGGUGCUCGAGUGGCGAACGGGUGAGUAACACGUGAGUAACCUGCCCUUGACUUUGGGAUAACUUCAGGAAACUGGGGCUAAUACCGGAUAGGAGCUCCUGCUGCAUGGUGGGGGUUGGAAAGUUUCGGCGGUUGGGGAUGGACUCGCGGCUUAUCAGCUUGUUGGUGGGGUAGUGGCUUACCAAGGCUUUGACGGGUAGCCGGCCUGAGAGGGUGACCGGCCACAUUGGGACUGAGAUACGGCCCAGACUCCUACGGGAGGCAGCAGCGGGGAAUAUUGCACAAUGGGCGGAAGCCUGAUGCAGCAACGCCGCGUGCGGGAUGACGGCCUUCGGGUUGUAAACCGCUUUCGCCUGUGACGAAGCGUGAGUGACGGUAAUGGGUAAAGAAGCACCGGCUAACUACGUG
rnacentral:rRNA from 1 species